UAUAUAUAUAUAUAUGAGUGAGGCUACUAUACUAUCGGAAGUACGGAGCAUUCCGUGCUUCCAGCUCGUUUUCAAUGUUGUGACUUUCGAAUCGUCGAUCGGCUCCGUUAAACUUGAUUUAGAGUAUUUGAAGUACCUAAAAAAUAAAUUUUAUGAUUUUACGAUAUCAUUUGCCUAGUGAACGAAGGGGCUCAAAAUCAACGGCUGAAAAUAAAAAUCUUACAAAAUGUAAUAAUAUGACAUUAAAAUUUUAAAUCAAAGAUAUUGAUCUUGUUUUAUAUAGUAUAAAGAAUUUUCUAUCAAAAUUUCACGUGAUUUGGAUAUUUCUACACCGUUAAACUUGCAAACGACUCACUACGGCCAUUGAAAUUUAUUGAUUUUGAGCCCAUUCGAUCACUAGGCAAAUAAUAUCGAAACAUCAUAAAAUUUAUUUUCUAGGUACUCCAAAUACUCUAGAUCAAGUUUAGUGGAGCCGAUCGACGAUUCGAAAGUCGCAACAUCGAAAACGAGCUGGAAAGCACGGAA
rnacentral:lncRNA from 1 species